GUGGUGGACUUUGCAGUGCAGAUUUAACAGUUGGACAUGAUUAUUUUAAAGGCCUUUUCCAACCUAAGUGAUUCUGUGAUUCUGUUUACCAUUUCCUAGCAAGAUUUGUCCUAUCAGAAAGUAACAGUGCGUUGGGUGGAGAGCUGAGUUAUUUGGUGUUUUACAUCCUUCCUUGCUGUCUGCUGCUAAUUCUAAUCCAUGGAAAGUGCUUUGUGAAAAACAUGGAAGAGUUUCUUUUGCCUGUAGCAUCUCGGUACCUAUAUCACUGUGUGGGAUUGAAAUGUUCCUUCAUCCUUCUUCGGGAGCAAAUCUGCAACUUGUUGUCCAAAAGGAGUUCUAAGACUACAAGAACAGAAAGUGCUAUUUCUGUACCGGAAUGUCUGAGACUCUCAUCUAAGUGUGAUCUGGAUCAGAAUACAACUGCCCUUAAGAGCUUUCUGUUCUCAUAUUUGAUAUUUAUGUGCCUGGUAAAUAUUCAUGAUUUCAUUGCCCUACACAUUGAUCUUCCAGGAGAACUGGAUCUUCUUUUAAUGCAACAGAGACUCUGGGAGCAGCUGUGGAGGAUGGAAGUGCACAUGCAGCUUGUUCUCAAAUUCUCUAGACAAUGUGUCUUGCUGAGUGUGUCUCACAUGUUUGUGUAAUGUAAUCUGCAACAAUCUGGGAGUGUAAGAGGCUGAGGGAGCUGUUGGAGUGCAUUUACAUCCUGGUUCACCCAAACUGGCUGUUGUGGAAGUGUGCAAAAUGAGCUACUUCAAAUAUUACACUAGAGGAAUCAGAGCGAUCUAUGAAGUAUCUCAUUCCUUUAUACCAGUGUUACAAAUGCCAGCUAAAUGAGGAAAUUAACAUAUUUAUUAAUGCUUGUCAACACUUUAAAUUCAGAUUUUCGCUAAAUGCUGCGGUACAUUUUCUAUUUAUAUAGCAGCUUUGAUCUAAUAGGUAGAGAUUAUUAACUUAGUAAAGGUCUGGUCAAAAAGAGAGGGUUGUACCUUUUCCUUGAGGCAUCUGCUUAUUUUGAAGUCACAAAACAUCUUAUCUUCCCUCUUAAGAGUUUUUAUGCUAACAUUCCCUAUGACCAAUGACUGUAACAUCUGAUUCAGUACCACAUUUUGGCACAAGCUGUAUAAGGUACAAUAAAGGCUCACUUGAUUUUUGG